rnacentral:sRNA from 1 species
GUUUAAUUCUGGCUGUACACGUCAAGAGUAGCUCUGAUAAGUGGUAACGCCACAAGAGUGACAGGAUCUUCUGAAAAAAAUGAGAGCCUGUUAUUGGAAUGAGCUGCCUGACUCCUGGAUUUGAGGGAAAUGUCUGAUUAGUAGACAGGCCCCAGAAGCUGUGAGGGGCACUCGCACGCGACCAAGGCACCUGUUUCCAAGCAGCUUGCUCAGGAUCUGGCAUACCCCAGUGCCAAUAUCUGCAAUGUGGUCCUGAUGCGGUACGGGGAGCUGGAGGAAGGGAUUGAUGUCCUGGACAGCGAUGGCAACCUCGUGGGCUCCUCCAAGAUUGCAGCCCGACACGCCCUGCUGGAGACGGCGCUGACGCGAGUGGUCCUGCCCAUGCCCAUCCUGGUGCUACCCCCGAUCGUCAUGUCCAUGCUGGAGAAGACGGCUCUCCUGCAGGCACGCCCCCGGCUGCUCCUCCCUGUGCAAAGCCUCGUGUGCCUGGCAGCCUUCGGCCUGGCCCUGCCGCUGGCCAUCAGCCUCUUCCCGCAAAUGUCAGAGAUUGAAACAUCCCAAUUAGAGCCGGAGAUAGCCCAGGCCACGAGCAGCCGGACAGUGGUGUACAACAAGGGGUUGUGAGUGUGGUCAGCGGCCUGGGGACGGAGCACUGUGCAGCCGGGGAGCUGAGGGGCAGGGCCGUAGACUCACGGCUGCACCUGCAGGGAGCAGCACGCCAACCCCAGCAGUCCUGGGCCCCCUGGGAGAGUGCUCAACCUACAGUGGAGGGAGACUGACCCAUUCACAUUUUAACAUAGGCAAGAGGAGUUCUAACACAUUUCGUACAAAAAAAUAAUCAAGUGCAUUUCUGGGCCUUAUGUGGGGUUGUCAAAACUCCACUCAGCACAAUUAUGUGUGAAGCUG